rnacentral:rRNA from 1 species
AUUGAACGCUGGCGGCAGGCCUAACACAUGCAAGUCGAGCGGAUGAAGGGAGCUUGCUCCUGGAUUCAGCGGCGGACGGGUGAGUAAUGCCUAGGAAUCUGCCUGGUAGUGGGGGAUAACGUCCGGAAACGGGCGCUAAUACCGCAUACGUCCUGAGGGAGAAAGUGGGGGAUCUUCGGACCUCACGCUAUCAGAUGAGCCUAGGUCGGAUUAGCUAGUUGGUGGGGUAAAGGCCUACCAAGGCGACGAUCCGUAACUGGUCUGAGAGGAUGAUCAGUCACACUGGAACUGAGACACGGUCCAGACUCCUACGGGAGGCAGCAGUGGGGAAUAUUGGACAAAGGGCGAAAGCCUGAUCCAGCCAUGCCGCGUGUGUGAAGAAGGUCUUCGGAUUGUAAAGCACUUUAAGUUGGGAGGAAGGGCAGUAAGUUAAUACCUUGCAGUUUUGACGUUACCAACAGAAUAAGCACCGGCUAACUUCGUG